rnacentral:rRNA from 1 species
GAUGAACGCUGGCGGCGUGCCUAAUACAUGCAAGUCGAGCGACGCGGCGACGGGUGAGUAACACGUCGAUAACCUCCUAUACGCCUGGGAUAACUUCCGGAAACCGGAGCUAAACCGGAUCCUUAUAGAUGGAUCCGCGCUGCCUUGGCUAGGUGGUAAGGUAACGGCUUACCAAGGCAACGAUUCCUCGCCGACCUGAGAGGGUGAUCGGCCACACUGGAACUGAGACACGGUCCAGACUCCGACGGGAGGCAGCAGUAGGGAAUCUUCCGCAAUGGGCGAAAGCCUGACAGAGCAACGCCGCGUGAGUGAUGAAGGUCUUCGGAUCGUAAAACUCUGUUAUUAGGGAAGCGGUACCUAAUCAGAAAGCCACGGGUAACUACGUGCCAGCAGCCGCGGUAAUAC